UCGCCCUUAGAGUUUGAUCCUGGCUCAGGAUGAACGCUAGCUACAGGCUUAACACAUGCAAGUCGAGGGGCAGCGGGAUUGAAGCUUGCUUCAAUUGCCGGCGACCGGCGCACGGGUGAGUAACGCGUAUCCAACCUUCCGUACACUCAGGGAUAGCCUUUCGAAAGAAAGAUUAAUACCUGAUGGUAUGAUGAGAUUGCAUGAUAGCAUCAUUAAAGAUUUAUCGGUGUACGAUGGGGAUGCGUUCCAUUAGGUAGUAGGCGGGGUAACGGCCCACCUAGCCAACGAUGGAUAGGGGUUCUGAGAGGAAGGUCCCCCACAUUGGAACUGAGACACGGUCCAAACUCCUACGGGAGGCAGCAGUGAGGAAUAUUGGUCAAUGGACGAGAGUCUGAACCAGCCAAGUAGCGUGAAGGAUGAAGGUCCUACGGAUUGUAAACUUCUUUUAUAAGGGAAUAAACCCUCCCACGUGUGGGAGCUUGUAUGUACCUUAUGAAUAAGCAUCGGCUAACUCCGUGCCAGCAGCCGCGGUAAUACGGAGGAUGCGAGCGUUAUCCGGAUUUAUUGGGUUUAAAGGGAGCGCAGACGGGUCGUUAAGUCAGCUGUGAAAGUUUGGGGCUCAACCUUAAAAUUGCAGUUGAUACUGGCGUCCUUGAGUGCGGUUGAGGUGUGCGGAAUUCGUGGUGUAGCGGUGAAAUGCUUAGAUAUCACGAAGAACUCCGAUUGCGAAGGCAGCACACUAAUCCGUAACUGACGUUCAUGCUCGAAAGUGUGGGUAUCAAACAGGAUUAGAUACCCUGGUAGUCCACACGGUAAACGAUGGAUACUCGCUGUUGGCGAUAUACUGUCAGCGGCUUAGCGAAAGCGUUAAGUAUCCCACCUGGGGAGUACGCCGGCAACGGUGAAACUCAAAGGAAUUGACGG
rnacentral:rRNA from 1 species